GCGCGAAAACUUUACAAUGCGGGAAACCGUGAUAAGGGAACCCCGAGUGCCCGUAGAAUCGGGCUGUUGAUCUGUGUAAAAAAGCAGGUAAAGAAAGGGCCGGGCAAGACCGGUGCCAGCCGCCGCGGUAAUACCGGCGGCUCGAGUGGUGGCCACUAUUACUGGGCUUAAAGCGUUCGUAGCUGGGUUGUUAAGUCUCUUGGGAAAUCCACCGGCUCAACCGAUGGGCGACCAGGGGAAACUGGCAUUCUAGGGACCGGGAGAGGUGAGAGGUACUCCAGGGGUAGGAGUGAAAUCCUGUAAUCCUUGGGGGACCACCGAUGGCGAAGGCAUCUCACCAGAACGGCUCCGACAGUGAGGAACGAAAGCUGGGGGAGCAAACCGGAUUAGAUACCCCAGU
rnacentral:rRNA from 1 species